rnacentral:rRNA from 1 species
CCAUGAAGCUGGAUUCGCUAGUAAUCGCGCAUCAGCCACGGCGCGGUGAAUACGUUCCCGGGCCUUGUACACACCGCCCGUCAAGCCAUGGAAGCCGGGGGUGCCUGAAGUGCGCUGCCGCAAGGAGCGCCCUAGGGUAAAACCGGUGACUGGGGCUAAGUCGUAACAAGGUAUC